rnacentral:rRNA from 1 species
UUACCAGCACGUUAUGGUGGGCACUCUAAGGAGACUGCCGGUGACAAACCGGAGGAAGGUGGGGAUGACGUCAAGUCAUCAUGGCCCUUACGGCCUGGGCUACACACGUGCUACAAUGGUCGGUACAAAGGGUUGCCAAGCCGCGAGGUGGAGCUAAUCCCAUAAAACCGAUCGUAGUCCGGAUCGCAGUCUGCAACUCGACUGCGUGAAAUCGGAAUCACUAGUAAUCGUGAAUCAGAAUGUCACGGUGAAUACGUUCCCGGGCCUU